UGGGGAAUUUUGGACAAUGGGCGAAAGCCUGAUCCAGCCAUGCCGCGUGAGUGAAGAAGGCCUUCGGGUUGUAAAGCUCUUUUAGUCGGAAAGAAAGAGUUGCAAUGAAUAAUUGUGAUUUAUGACGGUACCGACAGAAAAAGCACCGGCUAACUACGUGCCAGCAGCCGCGGUAAUACGUAGGGUGCGAGCGUUAAUCGGAAUUACUGGGCGUAAAGGGUGCGCAGGCGGUCUUGCAAGUCAGAUGUGAAAGCCCCGGGCUUAACCUGGGAAUUGCGUUUGAAACUACAAGGCUAGAGUGCAGCAGAGGGGGGUGGAAUUCCAUGUGUAGCAGUGAAAUGCGUAGAGAUGUGGAAGAACACCGAUGGCGAAGGCAGCUCCCUGGGUUGACACUGACGCUCAUGCACGAAAGCGUGGGGAGCAAACAG
rnacentral:rRNA from 1 species